rnacentral:rRNA from 1 species
UACGAAGGGGGCUAGCGUUGUUCGGAAUUACUGGGCGUAAAGCGCACGUAGGCUGAUAGUUAAGUGAGGGGUGAAAUCCCGAGGCUCAACCUCGGAACUGCCCUUCAUACUGGCUAUCUCGAGUCCGGAAGAGGUUAGUGGAAUUCCCAGUGUAGAGGUGAAAUUCGUAGAUAUUGGGAAGAACACCAGUGGCGAAGGCGGCUAACUGGUCCGGUACUGACGCUGAGGUGCGAAAGCGUGGGGAGCAAACAGG